rnacentral:rRNA from 1 species
UACCUCAAGUCAAGUAAGAAUACCCGCUGAACUUAAGCAUAUCAAUAAGCGGAGGAAAAGAAACUAACUAGGAUUCCCUUAGUAACGGCGAGUGAACUGGGAAAAGCUCAAAUUUUAAAUCACCUCGGUGAAUUGUAAUUUGAAGAAAGUGUUUUGACUUUUCAGUUUAAUCUAAAUCCUUUGGGAUGAGGUAUCAUAGAGGGUGAGAAUCCCGUUCUUGAUUAAACCUCGGAUUGCACUAAAUUCACUUUCCAAGAGUCGAGUUGUUUGGGAUUGCAGCUCCAAAUGGGUGGUAAAUUUCACCUAAGGCUAAAUAUAUGCAAGAGACCGAUAGCGAACAAGUACCGUGAGGGAAAGAUGAAAAGUACUUUGAAAAGAGAGUUAAACAGUACGUGAAAUUGUUGAAAGGGAAACGAUUGAAGUCAGUCAUGCUAGUGAGGAAUCAACUUGGUGGUUUACUUCCUUGUGCAUUUUCUCGCUUGGCAGGUUAGCAUCAAUUUUGGUUGUCAUCAAAGAAUUGGGGGAAUGUGACUUUUCUUCGGUAAAGUGUUAUAGACCCUGAUUGAUGUGGCGACUGGGAUUGAGGUUUGCAGCGGAUGCCUCUUGUGGCUAGUCACCUGUCUUCUGACCGUCACCUCGUUUUUAACAGCUUGCUGAUGAUUGCGGGAUUUGGCGAUCUAGGAGUUAGAGUGAACAUAAAUUCGCUAAGGAUGCUGACGUAAUGGCUUUAAACGACCCGUCUUGAAACACGGACCAAGGAGUCUAACAUAUGUGCGAGUGUUUGGGUGAUAAAACCCGGAACGCGUAAUGAAAGUGAUUCUGGUGGGAACCCCUCGGGGUGCACCAUCGACCGAUCAGGAUAUUCUUUGAUAGAUUUGAGUGAGAGCACAUCUGUUGGGACCCGAAAGAUGGUGAACUAUGCCUGAAUAGGGUGAAGCCAGAGGAAACUCUGGU